UCUUCUUGUUCUUGUUCUUGUUCUUCUGGUGAAGACAAAACCUUUAGCACGCGCCUCUUGGACACAUGUGUCCUUGUUGUUUCUCGUUUAUAUUCUGGUGCAGUGUUCGUGUACCAUGACGGUAUAGGUAGUGGCAGUGACGUAGCAAUAACUUCCGUUGCCAAUGGUGAUGCUCUUGAUUGCCGCUGGAUAAACAUUGUACGGUGUUAGACAUUUACAAUGGAGUAUUAAAAAGUCAGGAAAUUAAACGCACAGUUUGUAAAAAUGGACAAUUGCACCGUCUCACCUCUGGCUAAGUUAACACUCAGGUACACAUUUGAUUGUAAACAUUUGGAAUUUGCCGAAUUUAAUUUCUAUAUUCGUUUAUACAUUCAGACAAUCUGACAGGCAUAAAUACCACAAGAACAGUUCGACAUAUGUAUAUGUUUAAAAAAAAAAAUCAAUCUGUUAACGCAUUGAAGUGUUGAGUGGUGGGAGCUGUUCUUUGGAUGUGUCCGGGUCUCAUUGAGCUUGGUGUUCAUGAAUGUCGUGCACGCUUUGGGUGAUUUAAGGGUGAGGGUGAUGGUGAGGGCCAUGGCCAGCGUGGAAUGGAACGGCGCGUGAGAAAGUCUUCUGGGAACCGGCGAGCGAGGAAAGCGGGUUUGCGGCCCUGCUCGGGUUUGCGGCCCUGCUCGGGAUUGCGGCCCUGUUCGAGAUUGCAGCCUUGCUUGGGAUUGCGGCCCUGUUCGAGUUUGCGACAUACAGAAGGCCGGUGCCGUCAUGGACACGAGGAACUCGGCACUGCUCGAGGCUUUGGAUAAUGCUGACAGGACGAAAAAUGGAGGAUUUAUACAACCGCUCGAUCUGGAUGACGAUUUUUCAUCCGAAGCCGCUGAAAGACCUGUGAUUUUCUCCAAGGGAGAUGACAAGGGAAAGGGACAUGCUUCCCUACCAAAGCAACUUUCUGUGAACUUCAUCACCCGCUCCCCGCUCACCCGUUCCUCGCGCGCUCGAAGUCCUCCGGGCUUGAGUCCCAGCAGCUCCAAUAUGAGAAGGAACCUGAAGGCACGUUCACACUGCCUCGGCUGUGUCUCACUUUGGUCCUCACGCUCUUGUAUUUAUAGAUCAUGUCCUACUGUUAAAUUUGCUUUCUCUCAUCACACUUCUUUACUUUGCUCUUUCCUUUAAAAUGUCAUUUGCACCUUUUCCCAUUUAUUCCUCUUCCUUUUGCUAGACUUCUGUGACCCCAUGCUUGAACAGCCACCCGCUAGAGCACAAGUCAAGUAUGGGAAGCGCUCUGUUGGUCCGCACUCCCAUCCGUAGUGACAUCGGGAGGUAAGGUGUGCGCGAAGUUCAACAUGGGCUGACAUAUUUAGGAACACUUUAACCUUCAGCAAAUUUUGUGCAGUUGUUAAAGGAAUGUCAUGUGAUUUGCACAUGCUGCCAAUGCAAACAAAUGCUACAGGGUGUAGCUGAGUGUUUCCAUUUUGAACGUGUUUUCCUAAUGCUUAUGUUGAGGUUCCGCUGCUCCUCCUUCGGUUGGUUGUGCCAGCAUCCCUUUCUGCCAAUCUGCAGGGGGAAAAAAAAGACCAAGAAAAAAAACAACUCAUCAUCUUUACAUGCAAUAAAGACCCAUAUUCUCACUCUCCCUCAGCCUGGUGUUGGCGCAGUGGUUCGGGCAGCGGCUUUGGAUCCAAAAGGUCCUGAGUUCAAGCCCUGUUGGGCCACUGAAUUAAUACACCAGGGGGUUGACUCAGCCUGUCAUCCUUCUGAGGUCGGCGAAAUGAGUACCAGUGUACUGGGCCGGUGUAUACCCCAGUUGAAAUAAAUGUACCAUAUCCCUGUGUCGUAAGAGGCGACCAGGGUUGCGUCAGGAAGGGCAUCCGGCAUAAAAAACAUGUGCCAAAUCACUAUGCGGAUCAUAGGGUUGAUCCGCUGUGGCGACCCCUAACGGGAGCAGCCGAAAGAAGAAGAAGAUUCUCACUCUCCCUCCUUGAUUGGGCAGACAAAUCACAUUUCUGUUGUCGUCCUCUGCAAGAGCUGCUGUUUAUGGAACUUCCUCAUAAACUGUCUUGGACAGAUUGUGCCUCCAAAGCUGGCCACCACCUCAAAACAGGACCUUACUCUGCUUUCCUAAGCUUGUAGUAGUAAACAAGGGCUUUUUUACAUUUCCUUUGGAUGUCUCAUGCAUUCAAAUCUGUCUGACGUCCUACUCUGCUUUCCAAGCAGUACCCUGAUCGUUUCUACAGUACAUUGAAUGGCCGGCAGGAUUCCUUGAUACUUGCAACCAGCGGUUUUCUUUGCAACACGUUCUGUACCAUGCUCUAUCUCUUUUGGCUGGUGUUCCUCAACAUAGCAUCCCAGGACCAAUCCUGUUCAUGAACUACAUCAAUGAUCUCUGCUUAACUGGAAGAAUCCAUUCUACCUUCUGCCAGAUGGGUUGCAGCAACACAACUUUACAAAUCUUUGAAAAUAGCAACAGAUCAUCUCCCAGGAACAUAUUAUUUAACACCGGAACAUCCCACUCUUACUUUGUCUCUCCUUAAAGACCAGCUUGAAAAUCCCCAAGUUGUUUUUGUGGUCAUCUUCUGGGAGAGGUCUAAUCCUCAGAGUUCUUGGGCCUCACCAUCAGUUGUAACUUAUCUUCGGUAGAUCCAAUCUCCAAGCUGGCCUCCAUAGCUCCCUACCACCAAAUCUCUGCAAGCCAAGUCUUUCUUCUGCCAAGCUUAGUUUAUGACGCUAUCCAAAGGUUCAUCCAAAGUGCAAUGGGAUAUGGCUCCCCAUUAUGGGCUGGUGCUACUGCCUCCCAUUUUGUCAUUCUCAAGGCCAUGGAAUCCAAGGUCUUCCAUAACAUAUGAAUUUGUUACUGGAGAGUGAGAUUAAGGAUCUACUUUCUAAUCUUAUUCAAGUUGGUGGCUUAGGAUUUGUUUUCAAGCUCUACUCUUAGUCUUCUCCUACCCUCCCAUACCCCUGUUCUUCCAUGUUGUAUGCAUUCUGUAAGAGUUCCUUUUCUUAUUCCCCUCCCUACCUCUCAACUUUAUGCUCACCUCCAUUAUUUCAUACCCCUCUUUUCUCACCUGUGAAAGUGUCUUACCGAGUUAAUUCUCAAGCACUAAUUUCAAGUCUGAUAUACACCACCAUCACAUGGUCUCUCCACUUUGUAUUACUGAAGUUUUCUACACCCAUUGAGACCCUGUUCCAACCCUUGUGCUGCAUUUUCUCUUGUCAUGCUUUGGUGCUUCCAUUUGUUGUCAUUCCACUGUUUUCCCUUUGCGUAUUUUGUCUGUAGAUCAUUUGCCCCCUGUUGUUCUGUUCUCCCAUGAGCCUCACCACCUGUAUUUACAAAAAAAAUAUAAAAAAGUUGUGCUUUCCACCAGCCAGAACGACAAAGCAGAAUGUGCCUUUAAAUUCAUUAUUUUCAUGCAAUGUCCCAUCUGUCCCAUUGAUACAAAGGACCAAACACUUUUAUUUAUUACUUACAAAAUGUAAAGAUUUCGUAAGUAUAUUGAUGACUUCCCUCCUCUGUUUGUGUGUUUGUUUGUUUGUUUGUAGGCACGAUAACUCGAGAACGGAAGAAGCUACCAAUGUCAAAUUGCACCACGUGAUAGCAAGCGCUGAUUAGAUUUUGGUCAAAAUCGGUCAAAGGUCACAGUGAGGUCAAACAUAAUUCCGUAAAUUCAUGUGAAGAAAUGGAGUAUUUUUGCUUCGCUCGAUGUUACGAGUUCGUUUUAAUUGCGAUUUUAAUUUUGUCUUCGGUUUUUGCGAUCGCUUAGGAUGCUUAAAACUCGGUUGUCGAAAUUCUGGUAAAAAUCGGAUGUUUUGGAGACGUUUUAAGAUUGUAUAAAAAAUAUUUCACUUGCGCUUCACGGGUCGUCACGUGAUGCAGUGCGCUCGAGCAGACG
rnacentral:lncRNA from 1 species